rnacentral:rRNA from 1 species
UGCUAUAAUGCAGUCGACGAACUCUGGUAUUGAUUGGUGCUUGCAUCAUGAUUUACAUUUGAGUGAGUGGCGAACUGGUGAGUAACACGUGGGAAACCUGCCCAGAAGCGGGGGAUAACACCUGGAAACAGAUGCUAAUACCGCAUAACAACUUGGACCGCAUGGUCCGAGUUUGAAAGAUGGCUUCGGCUAUCACUUUUGGAUGGUCCCGCGGCGUAUUAGCUAGAUGGUGGGGUAACGGCUCACCAUGGCAAUGAUACGUAGCCGACCUGAGAGGGUAAUCGGCCACAUUGGGACUGAGACACGGCCCAAACUCCUACGGGAGGCAGCAGUAGGGAAUCUUCCACAAUGGACGAAAGUCUGAUGGAGCAACGCCGCGUGAGUGAAGAAGGGUUUCGGCUCGUAAAACUCUGUUGUUAAAGAAGAACAUAUCUGAGAGUAACUGUUCAGGUAUUGACGGUAUUUAACCAGAAAGCCACGGCUAACUACGUGCCAGCAGCCGCGGUAAUACGUAGGUGGCAAGCGUUGUCCGGAUUUAUUGGGCGUAAAGCGAGCGCAGGCGGUUUUUUAAGUCUGAUGUGAAAGCCUUCGGCUCAACCGAAGAAGUGCAUCGGAAACUGGGAAACUUGAGUGCAGAAGAGGACAGUGGAACUCCAUGUGUAGCGGUGAAAUGCGUAGAUAUAUGGAAGAACACCAGUGGCGAAGGCGGCUGUCUGGUCUGUAACUGACGCUGAGGCUCGAAAGUAUGGGUAGCAAACAGGAUUAGAUACCCUGGUAGUCCAUACCGUAAACGAUGAAUGCUAAGUGUUGGAGGGUUUCCGCCCUUCAGUGCUGCAGCUAA